CCAUGUCCCAUAUAACCUUACACUUUCUCUGUGGCCUCCAAUCUCCAUGAUACAUACGUCCCACUUGACAACACAACUUAGAUUAGCUACAAACUCUUUUUACUCUAUAUGUUUAUGAGGUAUUAUACUAUAAAUCCCUUCUUGCUCUGCUUCUGCUCACCCCUGUCUCCUCUCAUCUUUCCGGCUCCCGCCACGAGGGAAAAUGAAUGAAUCUUGUGUGGAUGUCUGAGUUACAGCUGCUGGUGACCCUUGCUCAGCUGUGCUACAUCCUUGUAUUAUUAAUCUUCAUGCCAUUUCCUGCUCCAAUUAACUCUCUGGAAAUAGAAACCUUGCAACUACUUUCGUCAACCAAGUUAGUUUUCAUCUAAUUUGAUAUGUACCUGCAAAGCCAUGACAAAUGAACGAAUAGUUAAUCUUGGAGUGAAACCAUAGAAUUGACAGCGCAAAGCUGAAUGUAAAAUCCGAGCACAACAUCAUAUCCAACUAAGAUUUGGGAUACCUUUUCCUGCAAGCAGGCCACACAGCAACAACAUCUCCAAAGCUAAGCAUCAGUUCGAAUAUAUGCUCAAUCCUCCAUGUCACUGGAAGUAACAUCUAAGCACCUGAAAGACUAAUCUUGUAUCAGACUAUCAGUAGGCAACAACUGCAGAGCAGUAACUAUAUGUGAGCAUAUCACAUAAAUCAAAAGACAAUUUAAAUGAAAGGGUCAAUUAUUAAAAGGAGAAAAUCUUAAGAUGGCAUGCCUCAAACCCAGCAGAGAGGCAAGCAGCCCCCAAAAACAUACUGUAGUGAUCGCUGAUGAAUCCUAAACUUAUCCUAAUCUACUUCACUUCAAAUGCGGUGUGCCACAAUUGGAUUACAACCACCGAUUGUAGAAAUAAAAAUGUGUUGAUAUGGGAGAGCUUUGCCUUCCAGGUGGCCUCUAGCUCGGCGACCUCAUGCUCACGCAAUGCAAUGUAGCUCUGCAUCUCACGCUCCUUCAUGGUGUGAAAAAAAAAACAGAAAACAAGAUAAAAUUAGUUUUCAGUUGCUCAUAUCUGCCUCCUUGGCUCUCUGAGAAUCAGGAUGUUUCCCGUUGUUAGGUAUGGUAGGAAACUUAUACUACACAAGAACAACUUCUAUCAAUUUAAAAUUUGAAGUUUCCAUGGUAAAGAUUAUGCUUAGUAUUCUGGACAAUUUCUUGAUCAUGUUCCUUAGCGGGCAAUGUAGUAAAAUUGGGACGAUCUGCUUCAGCAACCAUUGAUUCCAGAUCACCUGGUGUGGUUUGCUCUUGAGCAUUCUUAUCCCCAGGCUGUUGCUGAAAAAAAAAUAAUUUGGAGAUGACAUAUUAGAUGAAAAGUAAAAUAAGCCUUUUUCUCGACCUACAGUUUUCCUAGGCUAAAUGCAGGCUGUAGGAUGUGAUCAGCAAAAAAAGAGUGCCACAGGACAACAAAUUAUUAACAAUAUAAGCAUUUGACAGUAGUUGUACACUGCAGAUUUUCACAUUUGAUCUUAUCUGAAAGUAAAAGUUCUUAUUUAAGAACCUUAAUCCUGAAUAAUCCCAUAAUCUUUCCUAGCAAGUAUAUUGCAAGAUUGUGACAAAUUCUAAUACAUAAUGCAGUGAGCGCUGCUUAUCCCAAAUUAAAUUAGAUUUGUUGCAUCCAAACAAAUGAAUUCUAGUGCCCCAUAGAAUGGAGAUUAAUUAAACCAAUUUUGAAGCAUGUGUCAUACUUUUGAGAAAAAAAUAAAGCUUACCAAAUGAUAGAUGCAGAUAUACCUGUCUUGAUUUUCACUUGUAAUUUCUAAGUCUCUACCUGCAGUCAAAAUUAAUUAUUAGACCAGAACCAAAAAAGGAUUGGAGCAAAGAGUAGGGAUAUCUGUCUUGCAUUCAGUGCAUGCCAGGCUAUUCAGAGGUAAAUCUAAGAAAAGCAAUGCAAUAUCUUGAUAAUCUUCAGUUACUUCUAGUUCUAGCAUUCAUAGCCAAUAGCAAUAAAUACAGAAACAGGUUCAGACUUCUGAAAGAACUGCUUGGUAUAUCCUGUACCUUUUAGAAUGAACUUGAAGGCGAGGACAAGAGGCACCGCAUGCACUACGCAGGCACAGGAGCGCUGGCUGCCGGUGCCACUUUGGGUUCAGAAAUGUAUUCAAAAAUUAAAACAAAAAUCUAAAUAUCCUUUUGUUUUCAUUACCUCUCCCCUCUCUUCCAUCAGUUUUACUCGCACCCCACCGCGCACCCCAAAAAUUUAAACAAAAAAUCUAACUAUCUUCGUUUUCAUUACCUGUCCCCUCUCUUCCAUCAGUUAAAUUACAAGGGUGCAUGGUUCAAUGUUUUGGGCCUUCACUAACCAUAUACCUUUGGUAGUUUUUGACCUGAAAAAUUCAAGAAAUUUUUACUAAAUUUACAGAUAGAUUGCGCAAAAGCCAGGAAGUUCCUUCUAAGAAAAGACAGAAAAAUAUGAAACAAUAAAA
rnacentral:lncRNA from 1 species